GCUGCUAGUCGCACGAGGUUCAGACUCCGUAGCGAAUAGCUCAGUAACACGUGGCCAAACUACCCUGCGGAGGUCCACACCCUCGGGAAACUGAGGCUAAUUCCGCAUAACGCUCCACCCCUGGAAUGAGGGUUGCUGGAAACGCUACGGCGCCGCAGGAUGUGGCUGCGGCCGAUUAGGUAGACGGUGGGGUAACGGCCCACCGUGCCAAUAAUCGGUACGGGUCAUGAGAGUAAGAACCCGGAGACGGAAUCUGAGACAAGAUUCCGGGCCCUACGGGGCGCAGCAGGCGCGAAACCUUUACACUGUACGCCAGUGCGAUAAGGGGAUUCCGAGUGUGAAGGCAUAGAGCCUGCGCUUUUGUACACCGUAAGGAGGUGUACGAAUAAGGGCUGGGCAAGACCGGUGCCAGCCGCCGCGGUAAUACCGGCAGCCCGAGUGAUGGCCGAUAUUAUUGGGCCUAAAGCGUCCGUAGCUGGCCGCGCAAGUCCAUCGGGAAAUCCACCCGCCCAACGAGCAGGCGUCCAGCGGAAACUGUUCGGCUUGGGACCGGAAGACCUGAGGGGUACGUCCGGGGUAGGAGUGAAAUCCUGUAAUCCUGGACGGACCACCGAUGGCGAAAGCACGUCGCGAGGACGGAUCCGACAGUGAGGGACGAAAGCUAGGGUCUCGACCGGAUAGAUACCGGGUAGUCCUAGCUGUAACAGUGCCCGUUAGUGUGGUGCAAGUUAGAAUGCUGGGUUGGGCCGAAGGAAGCCCGUAACAGAGCGGCUGGGAAGGAACGUCUGAAGGGUUGAAAUUAAAAGAAAUGGCGGGGGAAGAAUUAAAACCGAAGAAGCCGGGGGUUAAUUUGACUUCACGGCCGACACCCACCAGAUCCGAUGGUAGUAUGACGAUCAAGGUGAU
rnacentral:rRNA from 1 species